rnacentral:lncRNA from 1 species
GUCUUGGAUGGACAAGGUCUUACAGCUAAGCUCAAUGAUAGUGAGAUGUGAGGAAUGUUUAAACAUCUCACGAAACUAAGAAUAAGCAUCAUGCGAGACAUGGAAUAAACAUCCCGUGAACCUCGAAAUGAUGAGGUCUUAUACCUAAGCUCAACAAUAGUGAUAGGUAAGGAAUAAGCAUCUUGGGAAGCCAAGAAUUAGCAUUUGGCGAGGCGGGAAGACAAACAUCACUCGAAUAGCUCUACAAUUGUCAAAGUCCUAUAAGGAACCUCGGAUAUAUAAGGUCUUACAUAUAGGCUCGACAAUAGUGAGAGGUAAGGAAUAAACAUCUCGCUAAACCAGAAAUAGAUAUCUAACAAAGCAAGGAAUAAACAACCCGCUAAUAGCUAUCGAACUAUCAGAGUCUUAUAAAUGGGCUCCAAUAAAUGAGGUCUUAUAGCUAGGCUCGACAAUAGAGAGAAACAAGGAAUAUGCAUCGGCAAAGUGAGAAAUAAACAUCUCACUAAUAGCUCUUGAACUAUCAAAGUCUUAUAAGUGCCCUCGGAUAGAUGAGAUCUUACAGCUAAGAUCAACGAUAGUGAAAGACAAUGAAUAAACAUCUCAUGAAGCUAGGAAUAAGUAUCUGGCGAAGCAAGGAAAAAAUCCCUCUAGUAGCUUUCAAACUAUCAAUCUUAU